rnacentral:rRNA from 1 species
CCUACGGGUGGCAGCAGUGAGGAAUAUUGGUCAAUGGGCGCGAGCCUGAACCAGCCAAGUCGCGUGAGGGAAGACGGCCCUACGGGUUGUACACCUCUUUUGCCGGGGAGCAACGGGCUCCACGUGUGGCGCCACUGAGAGUACCCGGAGAAAAAGCACCGGCAAACCCCGUGCCAGCAGCCGCGGUAAUACGGAGGUUGCGAGCGUUAUCGGGAUUUAUUGGGUUUAAGGGGUGCGUGGUCGGAUCGUUAAGGCAGUGGGCAAAUUGAGGGGAUAAACCUCUGCCCGCAGUUGAAACUGGCGGUCUUGAGUGGAAUAGAGGUAUGCGGAAUGCGUGGUGUAGCGGUGAAAUGCUUAGAUAUCACGCAGAACCCCGAUUGCGAAGGCAGCAUGCCGGCUUCCUACUGACGCUGAAGCACGAAAGCGUGGGGAUCGAACAGGAUUAGAUACCCGGGUAGUC